ACUGGCUGACAAGUCGCAAAUAAGACGAAAUGCGCAUCCUGGAU
rnacentral:hammerhead_ribozyme from 1 species